rnacentral:tRNA from 1 species
GCGUGGGUAGUCUAGCGGUAGAACUUGGGCCUUCCAAGCCCAAAGCGCGGGUUCGACUCCCGCCCCACGCA